CUUUGUUGUCAGGCUAUUUUAGGAGUCGUCAAACUAUGCGCGGGGGUGCUUUGCAGACACCAAAGGAAUUAGGGCGUGUUGGACUACUGUUCGUCAAAUUUCACCUGACUGUUGGACAGCGUUGUUCUGCAGAAACUAUUUGGCCUGAUCAACGUUUUUGUUCUCGUUUGUUUUUAUAUUGGCUCGAAUGAGUGUAUUUGCUCUCGUUUGGUUAGCUAGUGCAAGCUUCUCGUGAGAUCCAUGACACUUUAAGGUUGAAAUUGAAACAGCGGUUAAGUUUUGGCUCCCCACAUGGCCACUUAUCAUCGUCGCCUAUUUGGGUCCUUGGAGCCUGGAGGCCACACCAGUAGGUCUCGGCAGGGGAGCAAGCAAGCGGUCGGUCGCCGAUGGAGGAUGGCAGUGGAACAGACAAAGUGGCAUGGCGCUGCCGGCUACCGCAGUGUCAGAGGGCGCACCAAAGCCAGCACUGGCAAACACGCUCGCCGCAUGCAUGCACACGCCUGGCCCGAUCAGACUGGACAGCGAGAUCGAUCGAUGCGCACGGCGCUCGAUAUGAUGGCGCCGGCAUCGUCGACGCGACGUCGUUCCACGCCGUGUCCGGAGUGCUGGCCGGUGCAGCGAGAUGGAUCACUGGCGAAAAGCUAUGGCCGGAGCAGGAAGUUCAGAACAAAUUUGUUAAAAGUGAGAAGAAGAAAAAAAAAAC
rnacentral:lncRNA from 7 species